GACGGUCUGGAGCGGCUGGAGCGGUUCGUCGGCGGUCUGCGCGCCGGCACCGUCGUCAUCAGCCACGACCGCGAGUUCCUGGCCCGGACGGUCACCA
rnacentral:tRNA from 1 species